UACAGAGGUGCGCGCGUGUUGGAUUGACUGGGCGUAAAGCGCGCGCAGGCGGCCACUUAAGUCCGUAGGUGAAAGACCGGGGCUCAACCCCGCGUCAGCCAUGGAUACUGGGCGGCUGGAGACAGGUAGAGGCAAGCGGAAUUCCGGGUGUAGCGGUGGAAUGCGUAGAUAUCCGGAAGAACACCGGAGGCGAAGGCGGCUUGCUGGACCUGGUCUGACGCUGAGGCGCGAAAGCGUGGGGAGCGAACAGG
rnacentral:rRNA from 1 species